rnacentral:rRNA from 1 species
UAAAGAACCUGCCUUAUAGACUGGGACAACUAUUGGAAACGAUAGCUAAUACCGGAUAACAGCAUUAACUGCAUGGUUGAUGUUUAAAAGUUGGUUAUGCUAACACUAUGAGAUGGCUUUGCGGUGCAUUAGCUAGUUGGUGGGGUAAAAGCCUACCAAGGCGACGAUGCAUAGCCGACCUGAGAGGGUGAUCGGCCACACUGGGACUGAGACACGGCCCAG